UCCUCAUCCUCUCCUUCUCUUGAGACUCCGACAGGCCGCCUCCAUCUCCGCAGCCGAUCGUGACGCCGACGACCGCCAGGCCGCCUUCCUCAUCCGCUCCUCCUCCACUUGGAUCCGAUCGGCGACCGCUAUUGCUCCUCCGCCUGGUGUCUCGGAUGUCCCACAAUCAUCACCAUUGUUGCCAUUUCAAGGAUUUCAGGUAUGAUCCUCUUUACGCCCUCAACUUCAAUGACACCUACCUCACAGGAGAUCUAUCUAAGUCUGCUAACGAAUGACUAUAAUUUUGAUCGCAAGUUGACAAUCUUGGCCUAGAGUGCUUCCGAAGUGGGUUCAUUUAUUCUAGGUAUCAAAUACUGUUUUCAAAGGAGAAGAUGAUGGUGGUGGAGAAGCUCUCUUCCUUAUAAGAUUUGUGGAUGAUGGGAGACCCUUUUGGCAAUUCAUAGUCAGCUCUUCCACAGGGUGCUCAGAUUCAGUACUUUGAGGAGGUGUAUCACUAUUACACAACUAAUAAAGCAUGACACCUUUUUGAUCCUGAUGUGAAGAAGUUUUUAAAGCCCUGAAGAAAGCUGGAGUGAAAUCUACUGUUGUGUCUAACUUUGACACCCGUCUGCAGCCUCUUUUGCAAGCACUGAGAUGUGAUCACUGGUUCGAUGCUAUUGCAGUCUCAGCUGAGGAGAUAGCAUUAUCACAGGAAGUUGUGGUGUCAUCAAAACAGUUCUGGUAGUUGAUUGAUAUAAGCAAAAGGUUCACUUAUUCAGCCACAUAAGCACAGAAGCUUCUAGCCAACCAAUGGAACAGAGGAUGGGGUGAUGUAUGUCCUUCAAAUAGAUCUCUCUUAUCAUGCAAGGUUCAGGCGUCUUCAUCUACUGACAUGACUACAGUACAAACGAUGUUGCCUACAUUAAAUGAGGGAGGUGCCAUUAAUCAGAUAGAUCAUUCUACACGACAAACUGAAGAUUUCCUGCAACAGCCGUUGAUUAACACUCAAGCACAAAAAGAGCACUUAAUGUUCAUUAUAUGAAUUUCUGGGGAAGAGACCCUGUUUUCGGCGAUCAAAAUAAUCUAAUUAAAAUUUUUGUUCUGCAAAUGUUAUCAGCCUGGAUCUUGUUUGUUCCCCAGCAACAAGG